rnacentral:rRNA from 1 species
AGUCUUUUGACUUAUUAUAAAAGAUGUUUUCUGCUCAAUGAUUUUAAAUAGCCGCAGUACUUUGACUGUGCAAAGGUAGCAUAAUCAUUUGCUCUAUAAUUGAGGGCUAGAAUGAAUGGGAUGACAAGACUUUUACUUUAUUAGGGAAAAUAAAAAUAAUUUGUUUUUUUAGUGAAGAAACUAAAAUUUUUUUGUGGGACAAGAAGACCCUUUUGAUCUUUAUUAAUUUUUUUCUUUAUUGGUUUUAGUUAAUUUGGUUGGGGCGACCGAGGAAGUAUUUAUCUUCCUUUGUAAUUUUGAUCCGAAAUUUUCGAUUAAUAGAUUUAGAUACCAAAGGGAUAACAGCGUGAUUUUUUUUGUGAGUUCUUAUUAAAAAAAAAGAUUGCGACCUCGAUGUUGACUUAUUUUUUCCUUCUGGUGCAGUAGCUAGAUAGUGGUAGGUCUGUUCGACCUUUAAAAUUUU